rnacentral:rRNA from 1 species
AGUGAACGCUGGCGGUAGGCCUAACACAUGCAAGUCGAACGGCAGCACAGUAAGAGCUUGCUCUUACGGGUGGCGAGUGGCGGACGGGUGAGGAAUACAUCGGAAUCUACUUUUUCGUGGGGGAUAACGUAGGGAAACUUACGCUAAUACCGCAUACGACCUACGGGUGAAAGCAGGGGAUCUUCGGACCUUGCGCGAUUGAAUGAGCCGAUGUCGGAUUAGCUAGUUGGCGGGGUAAAGGCCCACCAAGGCGACGAUCCGUAGCUGGUGUGAGAGGAUGAUCAGCGACACUGGGACUGAGACACGGUCCAGACUCCUACGGGAGGCAGAGGUGGGGAAUAUUGGACAAUGGGCGCAAGCCUGAUCCAGCCAUACCGCGUGGGUGAAGAAGGCCUUCGGGUUGUAAAGCCCUUUUGUUGUGAAAGAAAAGCAGCAGGUUAACACCCCGCUGUUCUGACGGUACCCAAAGAAUAAGCACCGGCUAACUUCGUG